rfam:Homo sapiens chromosome 1, GRCh38 reference primary assembly.
GCCAGGCAUGGUGGCUCAUGCCUGUAAUCCCAGCACUUUGGGAGGCUGAGGUGGGUGGAUCACCUGAGGUCAGGAGUUCAAGACCAGCCUGGCCAACAUGGUGAAACCCCAUCUCUA